rnacentral:lncRNA from 1 species
GUUCGUUCAAUUAAAUUUAUAUAUAUUUUAAUUGUCUUCCGGAAACUUGUAAUAACAUUGAUGUUAAAAAAUAUAUUUAUAUCAAAAUAUCAACAUGACAGCGUAUGGUCGAGGUUCCUUUGGUGGAGUAGGAUUUACCCCCAACCAAACUGUUAUUAAGGAAGGUAAGGUAUAAAAAUAUCAACAUGACAGCGUAUGGUCGAAGACUUUGGUGGAGUAGGAUUUACCCAACCAAUCUGUUAUUAAGGAAGCUGUUAUUAAGGAAGGUAAGGUAUAAAAAAUAUCAACAUGACAGCGUAUGGUCGAAGUUCCUUUGGUGGAGUAGGAUUUACCCCCAACCAAUCUGUUAUUAAGGAAGGUAAGGUAUAAAAUAUAUCAACAUGACAGCGUAUGGUCGAGGUUCCUUGGGUGGAGUAGGAUUUACCCCCGACCAGUCUGUUAUUAAGGAAGGUAAGGUAUAAAAAAUAUCAACAUGACAGCGUAUGGUCGAGGUUCCUUUAGUGGAGUAGGAUUUACCCCCCGACCAAACUGUUAUUAAGGAAGGUAAGGUAUAAAAAAAUGAAAGAUUGUCCCUUUUAAUGUUCUGUUUGUGAACAUAAAUUUGUCUUAACAUUUCAUAACACCUUAUUCCUCUCAUGAGUUCUUUGUUUACCGUAAUAUUAUAAUGCAGAGAGCUAGUAUGUCUGUGCACCCAUGGAUAUGAACAUGGUUUUUUUAGAGAGAAUGCUACGCUCCAUCGUAUGUUAUAAACAAGAAUGUGUCCAUAGUACACGGAUGCCCCAUCCGCACUAUCAUUAUCACGUUCAGUGGACCGUGAAAAUGGGGUAAAAUCUCUAAUUUGGCCUAAAAAUUAGAAAGAUCAUAUCAUACGGAACAUAUGUACUAAGUUUCAAUGUGAUUGGACUUCAACUUCAUCUAAACUACCUCGACAUAAAAAUUUAACCUGAAGCGGGACAGACGGACAGACGAACAGACGAACGAACGAACGAACGAACGAACGAAUGGACGGACGCACAGACCAGAAAACAUAAUGCCCAUAAAUGGGGCAUAAAAAUCUUUCGCAGAUUCGAAAAAAACGCUAUAGAAGGUUAACAUUCCCCUUACCACUAGUCACUCCUUAUUUCCCGUUGUAUUUAAAGUUUAUGUAUGCCCAUUAUUAAUUUUAAAAACAAAAAGACCUCUUCUUACAAACAAACAAAAUGACUUCUACACAGGCAUGAAAAGGACUUGAGCAUCAAACCAUCUCACAUCAGCGUGACUAUCGCGGUUUAGAGUCCUACACAUGAAUCGCUUUAACAUUCGAAACAAGUGUUAUAAAAUGUUAUUGCUCUCUGGUCAGAAUUCAUUUCUUUAUAUAAAAAAAAAGAAUAUGAAUAAGACUGUUGUUAAUUUUAAAAAUCAAAAGGAGUAUUACUAAAGAAAAAAAAUAUAAAUGACAAAAGAUAGACAGAAAACAAUACUAUCACGUAGCAUUGAAAAAAAAUGUUAAUAUUUAUUACAAUACUAUUUUUUACAUCAGACUAUAUAGAUCUAUAUAAGCUUAAAGCUUUCAUCCUUAAUUUUUCGAAAAUAAUGCAAUUUAGAAUGAUUAAGUAAAGGAAGAUGACAUAUGCAUGUGUGAGUUUAUUACUGUCACUUUAGAGAACACUUUAAAUUCAUUUAAAUCCUUUUUUCUUUCUUUUUUUACAAGUUUAACUGUAUUUGAGAUAAUGGUUUGAAGCCUUCUAUCACCGAAAAGAAAGUAUCUAAAUCUAAAGUUGUCUUUGACGAAAGAAGUUUUGGUACAAAACAUCGGCAAAAUUUUGCAUUGUCUGAAGUUGCAAAUUUAUACCUAGUCUGCACUACAAGCAUUAUCAAAUUGAUACAUUGUCAUUAACUUAAUACUGAUUUAUUGGCCCCUAACCAUACAAUUGCCUUAUUAAAAAAAAACGUAUUAACACUGAAAACUUUACAUGAUGGAUUUUUAUAUUCUAUACAACCUUUCAAACGUUUUGGUUAAAUUUGAUGGUAUGUAUUUCCACUCUUCGCAUCUGUUAUUUCCACUCUACACAUCUGUUAUUUCCACUCUACACAUCUGUUAUCGUAUGUAUUUCCACUCUACACAUCUGUUAUCGUAUGUAUUUCCACCCUACACAUCUGUUAUUUCCCCUCUACACAUCGGUUAUCGUACGUAUUUCCACUCUACACAUCUGUUAUGGUUCGUAUUUCCACUCUACACAUCUGUUAUUCACUCUACACAUCUGUUAUUUCCACUCUACACAUCUGUGUACGUAUUUCCACUCUACACAUCUGUUAUUUCCACCCUACACAUCUGUUAUCAAGCUUUUCUUGUAGAGAUUAUUAAAAAAAAAAAACACUUGGAAAAAGUCAAAAGAUACCAAGGAGUUAAAAUGCCUCAUUUUCUGUUAUUUCAUAGGUACCGAUGAAGAAUCUGAGUUUGACACAUUAUCAAAAACGAUUGCACAUAGUAUACAGAAAAUUACACACAAUGGUAAGUACAGGUAACAUUGUUAAUAAGAUUAUUAUAUAAAUAGGAAUAGAGACAGAGUUCAAGUUAUUCGAAAUAAAUCAUAAAAACAAGGCAAAGAGUGGUAACCAAAAACAAAAAAAGCACUUUUUUGUAUGGAAAACUCAUGUUGUAGAUGCGGAUAACAAUAAAAGCGAGAAAUUAUAUUGUAAUUGUAUAAUAUUGCAACUUAAAACAAAUCAAAAGGACAUCACUGUCAUUUGAAAAAGCCAUGUGUUUAAACGGGUUUCAUGAGUCUUAAACCAUUCACCUAAAUGUACGACAAGUUCAUGAACUCAUUAGAUAAAACAAUUACUGUCUUUUGUUUCGGUAAAUAUGGGGUUUUAUUGACUUUUGAAAAACUAAUAUUCACUUCGGCCGUCGUGAAUAUUAGAACUAAGGGUAAUGCAAUGUAUCUAAUUUCAAAAUAACAAAACAUAACUCUAAUUAUUCCAUAUUGGUAUUAUUUUAGUAGGUUUUUCUAUAUCGAUAUAUGAAUUGGAUUAUAAUAUUGCAACUUAAAACAAAUCAAAAGGACAUCACUAUCAUUUGGAAAAGCCAUGUAUUUAAACGGGUUUCAUGAGUCUUAAACCAUUCACCUAAUUGUACGACAAGUUCAUGAACUCAUUAGAUAAAACUAUAAUUCAUACAAACUUCAAAACAAGAAUAAUAGCUCGACUCUGCUCGUAAACUUCAACACACAGCGAAAAAGAACAAACAUCAAAUAAGAAUAAAGAUAUUUAUUAUUCCUGUUAAUGAUGGACAUUACAACAUAUGACUACAUGUAGGAUAAUAGCAAAACAUAAAGCAUAUAGUCUUUGAAGUAAGACACUCAGAAAAUAUAAUCCACAAAAAGUAUUCUUCCUUGAUGAGUUGAACGAAUGAGAUAAUUCUGUACAUACUACCUAGCAAGAGUAUCAUAAUUCUAGUAAAAUUGUAUAAGGCUUUUAUAUACAUCUAAUAAAUAUUCAAGUUGUAAAUACAUUUAGUAUCUCAGAUCCAGAAGUUAAUCAGUCGUAUUGGAACCAAGAAGGAUUCACAGGAGACCAGAGAUAAGGUGUAAGUAUUUAUAAAAAGUAAAAUAACAAAAAUACUGUACUCCGAGGAAAAUUUAAAACGGAAAGUAACUAAUCAAAUGGCAAAAUCAAAUGAUAAAACACAUCAAACGAAUGGACAACAACUGUCAUAUUCGUGACUUGGUACAGGCAUUCUUAAAUGUAGAAAAUGGUGUAUUGAACCUGGUUUUAUAGUUUUAUAGUUAAAUCUCAUGUUAUUUCAAGUUUGUUUUAUAUCAAUACAGACAGGAAAAGGAAGUAUAUAAAACAUGUUACAAACAUCCAGAAUGGUUUAUGCAGGAAAUAAAUGUUAUUGAAAGGAAGGGGACCAGUGGGUUUAAUUAAUUAUCGACAAGAACAUAAUGAAGUUAAAAGAGAAUAACAGCGAGAACUAAAUAACAACUAAUAGUUUAAGAUAUUUAAUAAUUAAAGAACAAUAACGGGUUUUUCAAUUUAAAAAAAUAUAUAAAAAUAAAAAAUAAAUAGGCAACUCAGUUGAGAAUACAACUUGUAAUAAAAGAAAACAACAAAUGUACAAACUAGAUAGGAUAUGUCACUUCCUACAAUAAUAUGAAUAAAGCGAUACUUUACAUAGUAUACGUUUAAGAAAAGGAAAGUGACCAGGGGCCUGUUUAUCGAAACUGUCCUAAGUUCUGUCCUAAGAAUUUCUUAGGACAGAAUUUAGGAUAAAGUUAGGACAACGUACGACACGUCUCAGCAUGCACAUCGAAGCUAUCUUAGGAAUAUCUUAGCUAGGACCUCCUAACCGAUGUCCUAAGUGUUGGCGGAAAAGAAAAUACAAAUUAGAUAUGAAAAAUUACAAUAUGAUAUCAUAUUUUAUCAAUAAUUUUGUUUUUUCAAAUAUAGUUAAUUAGAAACUAAUUAUUGGUGUUACAAUAAAGAUAAUAAAUGAUUAUUGUAUAAUAUUUGUACAUUUAAACUGUAAAAAACAAAACAUAAGACAAAAAUAAUAACUACGUAUUAUAUAAGAAUUUAACAAACUAAUUGUAAACUAGGUAUAUAAUCGGUAAAAAUCAUUACAUGUUUUUGAGCGAGUUGAAUUCGAAAUGUCAAGGUUUCAAUAUUUAACAGUCCAAAGACAAAUCUCGUGCAUUUUUCAUAUAAAUCUGGAGUAUUUCAACUAUUUUACUACUAGUAAAAACAACAAUACGUGUGAACAUGAUCAAAAGGCGAAAUUGAAUAUAUCCUAAAGUUAGGACCAUCCUAAGACCAUCUUAAGACACCUAAAUUGAUAUCCUAAAGUUAGGACAAUUCUUAGGAUUUUCCCUAAGUUGAGACAUGUUUGAUCAACCCACGUAGGACUAAGAUGUGUCCUAAGUUGGUCUUAGGACACGUCCUAAUCCUAAGAGAGCUUCGAUAAACAGGCCCCUGGUGUUUUAUUUGAAUUUUUCCUGUUUAUAAAUAACGUUGACAUUUAUCACACUCAUUAUUUUUCUUACGUUUAUAAAUGUGACUUACGCUUUUAGGCAUCAGUUAACUCACUAUACCAAUCAGCUGGCAAAAGAAACUACUGCAAAUCUAAAAACAUUUUCUCGGUUAAAGGUACACCCUUCAGACGAGGUAAAUAUAAAGUUUUUAACAAAAAUGUUAUCCCUUUGAACAGCUUUGUGCAGAUCUACCCUAAAACAGAUUAUAACAGUUACACAUCAGUACGGGGAAGGACGUUUUAGGGGAGAAUAUGAUAUUCUGAAAGUUCCACUCUAGAACAUUAAUGAACUGUUUAUUCCCUAGAACAAUUUACAAUGGUCGAUCUGUCCAAGGAUCAAAUAGUGUAGAUCAUCAAGAUGUUCUAAUAUACAUAUUUCUAUAACACUGAAUACUCUUCUUUCUGCAGUAAAAGGUGAUCUUCAAAAAUAUUGUGUUGAGAUAUAUUUAACCAGUGUUAUCAAUCAGAUGUGGAUUCUUCAAAAGUCUACUGCUAAAUCUUACACCUUAAUCUUUGCAAUUUUGCAGCAUCAUUACGUUUAAGACCUUUCAAUUUUUUACACUUAACACUACUAUUCCCAGUGUUUAAUUGAAAGAUCGACUUCACCAUAUAAUUAAACAAAACUUAUUCUAUGAAAAUGGGAGCCGUAGAUAUGAUUUUCUUGUUUUGGGUUAUAAUAAUUCUUAUUUUGCACCCCUUCUUGUCAAUUUGUGUUUGUAAAAUGAAGCAGAUUUUUUUCAUAACCUUUUUAAAGACAAAAAGUAAAAGCUCCUUACGAUUUUUUUCUUCUCUCAUAUAUACUGAUGAUGUCCUAUCACUCAAUAACCCAUAUUUCAGUAUUUAAUAUUCUUGUCAUGGGUAGAACAUACAUAAACUAAACUAACACCAUUUUCAACUCAAUCACAGUUUAAUAUUCUUGAACGUGUCAAUAAAACAAUUCUUUUUUAUUUAUUGAAAUUUAUCUGUGAUAAUUUUAACGUCACAAAAACUGCGUCACUUUUUGUGGCGUUGAUACAUUCAUGUGACUCACAGAUCAUACUUUGUUUGGGUGUCCUUGUGCGAUGUCAUAAAUUUAUUGGAGGUGUCUAUUGUUUAUAUUCUGUGGUUUACAUAUUGUAAUGUACUAUAAAAUUAUUCAUUGAUGUAUUUCUCUGUCCUGAGUAUUCUUGCGUUUAUUUGUACUAUAUUCCUGUAACGUAUUGUCAUUUUAGGUAUAUUUUUACAUUCCUUUAUAAGCGGGUGGUUUGGCUAGCUAUUAAUCCAGGUUCAACCCAUCAUUUUGUCUUCAAAUGUCAUCUACUAAGACAAUGGUAUGGCAGUUGUUAUCAUAUAGCUCGUUUCUAUGUAUUUUUGCGUCAGUUUUUGUUGCAGUUUAUUUUUUCUUUGGUUCCAUUAUUUUCUUCUUAUAGUUCCUGUGUUCCCUUCGAUUUUAGUUUGUAAUCAAGAUUCGCUUAAUCGAUAUAUGACCAUUGAAGACCGUUUUACUACUGUUGCUUUUACUUAGAAUAGUUCUAUGACAUUAUUUUCAUUAAGUUCUGAAGAGAGUUUAGAACUGAUAUCGAAUGAAAGGUAGUUACAUUCGUUUGAAAUGCAUUCGUCCCUGUCUUUUAUUUGUUACAUUCCUAAUUACAGUUAAAACAAAACAAUACUUGGUUUCGAAGGUCACAGUUCAAAAGAUUAAUAACAAAUCAAAUUUAUGAACAUGAAUACAUAACGCGUGCGCAUCUGCAUUCAUAACACAACCGGAAAAUAGAUUUGUUUUAAAUACGGCGAGCUCUGUUGUUAUGCUGCUGUAACUCUCUCAUUUUGAAGUCUAACAUAAAUUGAUUGGCAAAUACAAAUUAACCUUCCUUGUUUUCAGUUAAAACUUAAAAUUCAAAGUGAUAGGUAUGCAGAAAAAUUCAGUAAUGCAGUUAAAAGUUUCCAAGCUUCACAGAGAACUGCUGCACGAAAGGAACGAGCGAGUAUAGCAAGAGCAAGAGCACAUUCGCCAUCAUUUAAGGUGUUAAUACAGGUCAGUAAUCGUUUACUCGUAUAAAUUGUUUUACAUUGUGACAUGCUGCAUACAUAAACGUCAUUUUGGUCUCUGAUGGACGGUUUACUCAUUUGGCAAUGCUAACACAUCUGUCUUUUUGUUUUAUUAGAAGAUCUAUUAAAAUGUGAUAUCUAUAUACAGAUAUGUAGCGUACUGUAUGCUUUAUUUCUCACAUCAGGCAAGUUAAUAAUUAGAAAAAACCUUCACGUAAAAUUGUGUGAUUAACAUCCGAUAAUGUCAGGUAUUUUAAACUAACAGCAAUUUUCCUUUGUUGUAGUGCUGUUUUAAAAUUCUUUGUUGUCAAUAAUCUAUCAACUCCUCAAAAAUUAAAUACAGUGCAUCAUCUCUGAAUCGGAACUAGACAUUUCACGUAAGAAUUUUUUGAUUUAUGUGAGAAUGUGAAUAAUUUGAAUUUAAAAAAAAGCAAAAUCAGUGCCCCUUGAGAUGCAAGCGAAAUGUUGCUUAUAUAUAUAUAAGCUGUAAAAUGUUUUAUUCCUCUUUCUCCUUUGUAAAUGUGCAAAUACCAUCUAUCUUUGUUCUUUAAAAUUUUGAAUUCCAUAAAGGAUAAACGCAUAUAAACAAUUAUUACAGCCUGUUUAGCAUUGGUAUGUUAUGAGGUUAUAUUAGUUAAGGGUACUCUAUGUUCAUAUUGUGUUCACAGUAUAUUACAUAUCUGAGAAAUAAUUGAAGUACAGUCCAAUGAGACUUUUUAUGUUAAAUACCAGGUAAUCCUUAUUCCAUUUCUUGCUUUGUAUUUUCUAAUCACUUAUAAUUUAUCUCUUUAAUUCCAGUCUCCUUUUGAAGAUGUACCUAAAGAAAAAGUCCCGUCUGUUAAACGACAAAGGUAAGUUGUUUUAACCGGUGUUUUUUUAACUCGUGUUAACAGUAGAUCUUUAAAAACUGUUUUCAUGGAAAUAAGUAUACCAUAUUUUUAAAUAAGCGCUAUCACGGUAGGUAUAGUGUCCGGCUAGUAUCGUGGUUUUUCGAGUGAUUUUGUCCAUUUUAUUCGAGUCUAGUUCGGGCCUUUUUCGAGUGUUAAAACAUGCGAUAAGUUCAAUUAACGGAUAUUUCGGAAUUAUAACAGUUUUUAACAUUACUUCCCAUCUUAUAUUGAAUACUAUAUAUGUUUUGAUCAACAAAGAAGCUCAAUUUCCCUGUAUUUAAUGAAAAAAAAUCUGUGUUUGUUAUUGUCCGAUUUUUUUCGAGAGCAAACAGAAAAUUUGAAGGUAUUCGAGACUUUAAAAAAUGACUUUUUCUAGUUUAUCACUGUAAUUAAGUGAAGGACAAUACCAUAUAUUCCCAAUAAGUCAUCAAAAACAUAUCAAAAUGAUUUUUUUUCUUCAAUUUAAUGCAAAUAUUCUGUUUGGAGACGUUAUACAACUACUUUCGAGUGCUCAUUUAGAAAUAACUUGAUCCUUAACAAAACGGUGUCUAGAACAGUAUGCAGGGAACUCAUAUUCAUUUCAACUUCAUUUCAUGCCACUUUUGAUUUUACAUGCAGUUUAUAAUAAUAACUCCGGAGAUUAAUAAAAGAAAUCUAUUAAUUAAAAAAACCAUAAAAAAACACACACACUUUAUCCACCCCAUUUUUAUUGCCAUUUAACACAAAAUUAGAAUAAAAUUUCAGAUAAAAUCAACAAUGAAAUGAAUAGUUCAUUAGCCUAAAUAUGAUCCUUUAGCAAUGAUAGACAAAUACAAAGGUGUAUAUUAUUUGCUAUCCCCAGCUAGAUUGUCCAGUGUUUCGGACGACACCAGGAACAACAUUGUAAUGUCUUGAUUAAUAUUCAUAUUUUCCACUUUUGAGACACUUUUCUUUUAUUAAAAGGAAGUUAUCAUAGUGUUUAGUUGCUGUAUGACCAAUUAUUAUAUUUGCAGAAUUAGACUCCUCACAGUUGUAGCAUUAAGAUAAUGAAAAAUCUAAGAUGUAUGUUCUUUUAAGAACAAACAUAUAUCUCAUCUUAUACAAUAUAUCUAUGUACGUCUCAAUUCGAAUUGUCUAUGCGUAUGUUCCGGACCAUACGCGUAUGGUCACGACCAUAUGCGUAUACUCAUAUGGUCAAACUGUACGCGUAUGGUUGGACCAUAUAUGAUAUAUAUAGGAAGAUGUAUGAAUGCCAAUGAAACAACUCUCUCCUUCAAAUAACAAUUUAUAAAAGUAAACCAUUAUAGGUCAAGGUACGGCCUUCAACACGGGGCCUUGGCUCAAACCGAACAACAAGCUAUAGAGGGCCCUCAAAAUAACUAGUUCAAAACCAUUCAAACGGGAAAACUAACAGUUUGAGGGUGGGUUGGGGUAGAAAAAAGGAAAAUAUUAAACGAAAGAUACAUUAUGUUACUUGGCGAAAAAAGUAAUAAGUGGCAAAAUAUAUAUUUGUUUUGCGAAAUAGGUGGCGAAAAAAUAAUUGCCCAAGGGGAAACCCAAUUUGGGAUCAUAUAAGUAUACAUUAGAAACGAUUCAAUAACACAAUAAACUUAUCUAUACCAAUGACGGUUACAUGAAAUGUAUCAACUUUAUAGUUCAAUGGCUUCCCAAAACAGCACAAGUUACAAGUUGAAACCCAUUGUCUUUCAAUUAAUUGUCUUAAGUUGUGUGUAUCUGUUUUCUGUCCAUCUCUAGUGUCAAUUGUAAGACUCUUCAUCAUAUCGAUUUUUUUGUCAGUUAGUAAACUAGUUGAACUCUUGUUAAACAGUUCAUUCAGACAUUUUUUGAAGUUAUCUUCCAAGUCGACAUUUUGUUGUUCAGUAAUAGUUAUCCCAUGAGGUCCAAUUACUUAUAUGGUGCCGAACACUCACAUUAGAUUGUUGACAUCACGGAUAUAUACUGUACAUGCAAUUUAUAAGAUGUGAGAAAAAGAAUAUAUACAAAUGAACGAUACUUGUUUCAUGAUAAAAGUGUUGAUACACCAUGUGCCUUGAAAGUAUUCAAUUUGAUCCUUUAUUUUAUAGUUUUUAAACGUAAACACAUAACGAAAUGUGUAUAUCACUCGCUAAAAAAAGGACACACUCGAAAAAGCCCGGACAUGAAAAACUGAAUUUAGUCACAAAAAGUCGUUUUCAAUGCAAUAACAAUAGUUUUUGCAAAGUGUCUGUAUAUCUAAGUAUAUCCGUCGACAUUUGUAUUGGUAUGUGUAAGAAAAUGACUUUAUUAUUUUGGAAUAAAAGCAUUUUAAGGCUAAAUUUAACUUUUUUUUAACGAAAAGCAAUGUCGGAAUGAUACUAUCUUUAUAUCUAAAAUACUAGCAUAUCAUGUAUAACCUUGUAUAUCAAACUCAAGCUUCUAUAUCACGCUUUGUUAGAAAAGAAGUCUGUUUGUUUACAUUUUUGAUCAUAUUCACUCGAAAAAAAAGUAGUCGCACUCGAAAAAGCCCGAUCAAAUCACUCGAAAAACCACGAUCCUAGCCGGACACCAUAUCUACCGUGGCUAUUAUGAAGAUUUUGUUGAAAUCAAAUAGAAAACUUCACGUUGUAAUUAAAAGCAAUGCAUAUAUCAAAUGUAGAUCAAUUUUCGAAGCAAAAAGUUAAAGAUAUGCUUUGAUUUUCUACUCAGGCUGUCAAAGAUGGAACAAAAUGUUGAUUUGGAAACUAUUCUCGAAAGAGAGAAUGCAAUAAAAGAAUUAGAGGUUUGUAUUAACUUUAUAAAUGAGAUAAAUCCUUACUAUUUGAUAUCAUUAAUAUCAAUAAAAAAAAAUGUUCUCGUUAAAAAGACAUAGCGGUACAUACCCUUUAAUUUUGACUUGAAGGGGUAUUUGUGAUUUCUAUGCUGUUCGUUAAAGCAAUAUCAGUCUAGGUUUAAGAAAAAAUUGACUUGAUACGGAUUUGAGAAUUCUUUUCAAGUCUUUUUGGUCUUGUAUGUCCCCAAGUAACUGAGUAUCCCGGCUUUCAAAUGUUUUGGUUUGAGCGUUUCAAAAGAUGGUCAAUCUAGAAAAGAGCCUCCGACACACUAUCAAAAUGCUGCCACAUACCAGAGUCAGGAAUAUGACAGUUGGUAUCCAUUCGUUUGAUGUGUUUGAGCUUUUGAUUUUGCCAUUUUUUUACGGACUUUCCGUUAUGAAUUUUCCUAGGAGGUCAGUAUUUUUGUGAUUUUUAUAUUUGAUUAGAUAUAAUUAAAAGAUGAACCACAAAAAACAAAUAUCAUUUAGAUAAUUAAGAUAAUUGUAGUUCCUAAUUUUUGAUAAACAAAUGAAUGACUCUAACGUUUCUACUCAGUAUUUUGUUUUCUUUUUUAAAACUGUCCUGUACCAAGUCAGGUAUAUGGCCAUUGUUAUAUUAUAGUUCGUCUCAAUUUAACGUUGCGUCGUUUGUUUUCUCUUAUUUUUGAGUGUAAAUUGACAUUGCGAUAAGACGUGUCACGCUACUUGUCUAUCCCAAAUUCUUGUAUUUGGUUUUGAUGUUAUAUUUGUUAUUCUCGUGGGAUUUUGUCUGAUGCUUGGUCCGUUUCUGUGUGUGUUACAUUGUAGUGUUGUGUCGUUGUUCUCUUAUAUUUAUGCGUUUCCCUCAGUUUUAGUUUGUUACCCCGAUUUUGUUUUUUGUCCAUGGAUUUAUGAGUUUGAACAGCGGUAUACUACUGUUGCCUUUAUUUACAAGUACAUUUAUCACGUUACUAAUUCCAGCAUGACAUCACAGAAAUAAAUGAGAUCUUCAAGGAACUUGGUGCGAUGGUACAUGAACAAGGGGAAGUUAUAAGUAAGUUUAAGACUUUUAUUCGGAUGGAAAACUAUUGUUUAGUCAAUUACGUAAUUGUUUUCUGUAAUGCUGUUUAUUAACGAAUCAGUGCUGUCAAAAAAGAACCGUAACCGAACUUUUACAUUUAAUAUAGCAUUUCAAGAUAAGAUAAAUCUUUUUUUUUAAAUAUUUCUUAAGAAAAGAUUUUUUAAGAUGUUAUUUUUCUAUAUUCAAAUUAUCUCCCCAUCAGAUACGAUAGAUGACAAUGUAGACACAGCAGUUAUACAUAUACAAGAAGCAAAACAAGACCUAGCAACAGCUGUGUCCAUCCAGGUAUGUCUCUGUAAAGUUAUCUUAUACGGGCGUGCUAUGAAUUCAAUAUACAUCUGCUUAUUAAUAUGUUUUAUAAUUGAUUCUAAAUUAAUUCAAUUGUGUACAAUUUACCAAAUUGUAAAGAACAAUAUAUUUUAAAAAUCCUUCCAAGAUUUAAAAAAAAUUAAGAUUGAUUUUCUCUAGUACAUCAUUAUAUGUUAUGUGUUUUAGUUAUUAUGUAAUUUUAAAAUUCCCUGUAUAUGAUUGAAAACACAAUCGUUUGUAGUUUUGUUUCGGAGUGUUUAUACUGUAUGUCACGGUCUUAAUCGUUUUCCUUCUUAGUUCUUUUUUUGUUCAUUUAAUGAGUUCUUUUAUCUAUUUCAGGAAAAAGUGAGAAGUAAAAAAUGCCUAUGUUUGGUUGUUCUGAUUGUUGGAGUAGUGGUUAUUAUUGCAAUACUAUUACCAGUACUUCUAUCUAUAAACAAUUGAUAAGGUAGGCUUGCAAUACUAUUACCGGUACUUCUAUCUAUAAACAAUUGAUAAGGUAGGCUUGCAUAUCUAUAAACAAUUGAUAAGGUAGGCUUGUAAUACUAUUACCGGUACUUCUUUCUAUAAACAAUUGAUAAGGUAGGCUUACAAUAUUAUGACCGGUACUUCUAUCUAUAAACAAUUGAUAAGGUAGGCUCGCAACACCUUCUACUUACUAUCAAAUUUUGAGAACACAGAUUUUGAUUAAGGAUUUUUUUUAAAUAGGAUGCAUCAUUCAUAUCGUUUAUAAUUGAAUUUUUCAAUCCCACAUGCAUUACACCAGGGUUUCCUCUCUUUUGGAAUACACGUCAAACUCAGACUUUAUCACGUAUGACAACAAUAUGUACACGUCAAGCCUAACACUAAAAUGAUAGGUUAAUCAAUGAUGCUUAUUUAAAAGAUGGACUCCAAAGUCAAAUAACACAAAUCAAAGAAAAGAGACCAUCAGAAGACAGAGACGUAUACAGUUGGUGGUUUUCUCAGGAAACACAUCAAUGCCCUGCUUCAUAUUGAAUACAAGCUACACAAUAAGACACAUUGAGAUUUUAAAAUAAUUUGACUGCAAAAUUUCUUGGUAGUGAUUUUUUGUUUAUGAAACGGCGAGUUAUGGUGGCUGGAGAUUAUGUAAACAUACUUUAUUUUUGUUUGAUACAAUGGUAAUGUAUUAUUCGAAAUAUUAAGGAUUUUUUUAUCCCAGGCAUAGAUUACCUCAGCCGUAUUGGGCACAACUGGAAUUUUUAGUUCUCAAUGCUCUUCAACUCUAUACUUGUUUGACUUUCAAACUAUUUUGAUUUGAGCGUCACUGAUGAGUCUUCUGUAGACGAAACGGGCGUCUGACGUAUUAAUUUAUAAGUCUGGUACCUUUGAUAACUAUUGAACUUCCCAAACUAUUUGUAACGAUUAAAAACUGGAUUUUUUUUGUAGAGGGAAAUUACAGAGUCAUGCAUGUGGUAUAGCAACACUUCUCCAUUGGUCACAAUAAGCUGGAAUUUUUUAAGAAAACCCUGGCAGACUAUGUCCUUUAUAUACAGCAGUACAGAAACAACUGAAUAGACAUUAUGAUUAACUAAACAUUCAACUUAAUAAAACGUGUCUCUCUUUCAUACCAAUUAUAUAUAGCUGUUUGAAACAAUGAUGAAGAUUCUCUUUUGUUUCAAAUAUAAUAAAUUACAUCAUGUAUAGC